GGAAUCGUGUAACGACGGGAAGGGAGGUAGCACAAGCCUUAUAUGCACUCCCCACCAUCAUACCAAAUCCCACGAACCUUAAAACCGCCGUGUGUAGACUUGCCGGUGGCAUCUCUGGCAGGCUCCACUCGAGCCUGUCGUUUGUCAACUUAAUUUCUUACUUCUUAUAUUGGCUUCCAAAGGCUGAAAUCCCAAGAAAAUAUUCAAAAAGGAAAACAAAAAACAGAGAGAAACCUCUCUUCCAUGUAGUAAACGUAUACGCAUACAGAGACACGAAAUUUAGAUAGAGAUGGCGAUCGUGUACGCGGUGGUGGCGCGGGGCACGGUGGUGCUGGCGGAGUUCAGCGCGGUGACGGGGAACACAGGGUCGGUGGCUAGGCGGAUCCUCGAGAAACUUCCAUCUGAGGCUGAUUCUAGGCUGUGCUUUUCGCAAGAUCGCUAUAUAUUUCACAUUCUCAGAUCGGAUGGCCUCACUUUUCUCUGCAUGGCUAACGACACCUUUGGCCGUGCGUAACUUUCCCUUUCUUUUCAAUUUGAUCGCUCUCUGCUUAAUUUGACUGAAUUGAUGGAGUUAUUUGAGUUAGAAUGGUGAAGCUUAGUGUCAGUGAUGCUUGUUUUAUUGGUUUAUACUGAUUUUAAAGUUUAUGGCUUGUAGAAUGUAGGAUUUUAAAUAUGGUUGUUGGAAUUACUGGAUGGCUUUAUUAUUUAUUGAUUUGAAUUGAAAAAUAGCUUGGGAUCUUGCCUUUGGAUUUCCAUUUCCUCAGAUUGAAGUUUUUGCUGCAUCUUCAUUUUGUGUUUUAAUCCCAUUUGAAAGGCUGAGGUUCCAACUGAAAAUUGUCAGCUAAGAACCUCCUCCUGAUGAGUUGGUCAGAUAAGCUAAAAAAACAGCAAUUAAAGCUUCGCUCAGGUGUUUAAAGUUGGUCCCUUACAAUUUCUAGUUUACUCUUCCUCUAAAUGAAAUCUGAAUUCUAUUCUCAUCUUUGUUCUUCAGUCAAUUUGGUGCAUUGUUAGUAUUAUCCAUUGUUGGCAGUUUACUAAAGAAUUGUUAUGCAGUUUCUCUGGUACUGUUACUUCUUUUUCACCCUUUUUGUUUCACUUAUUAAUUAUUUGUUAUUAAAUUAGGACUCCUAUGAUAAAGUGUCACUUUGUUACUUUUGGCUCAUUAAUUAGAUGUUGCCCCUUAAUGUUCUGGGCUUCGAAAUUGUUUGUUUCUUAUGGUGGACUGGGGCAUCAUGGAGUGGCAGUGCAAUGUCUAGUAGCUGCAUAAUGCAUCUGUAUGUUGUAUUUAUGAAGGCAUAUGGUGAUGUGAUAGAUAAGUCAUAAAACAUGUAGAAAAAAUGUUUCAAACUGUUUAUUCAAACAUUACAAACUGUUUGCAGCACAACAAGCGAGAGAUUGGAAGUGAAUUAGUUAAUUUUUCAUGACCAGUUUUUAUUUAAAUUUAUAUUCUAGCUACAGAAUGUAAUAUGUAGUAAAAUUUGCUUACUCUUUAGGAGCCAUUGCUAAAUUGUGAAUUUCAGAAGUCUGAAUGGACGAAUUUCACCAUUCUUUUCUUGUUCUUCUGUGAUGUAUAAUUUGAUAUUUUGUUCCCUGAUCUAGGGAGAAUUCCAUUUUCAUACUUGGAGGAUAUUCAUAUGAGGUUCAUGAAAAACUAUGGUAGAGUGGCCCACUAUGCACCUGCUUAUGCAAUGAAUGAUGAGUUUUCGAGGGUCUUGCAUCAGCAAAUGGAAUUUUUCUCUAGUAACCCAAGUGUUGAUACUCUCAAUCGUGUAAGGGGUGAAGUUGGCGAGAUUCGCACAAUCAUGGUAGAAAACAUUGAAAAGAUACUAGAGAGAGGUGACCGGAUUGAGCUUCUUGUUGUCAAAACUGCAACAAUGCAAGACAGUGCAUUUCACUUCAGGAAGCAAUCUAAGCGUCUCCGAAGAGCACUUUGGAUGAAAAAUGCCAAGCUCUUGGCCUUGUUGACAUGCGUGAUUGUACUAUUGCUGUACAUAAUAAUUGCUGCUUGUUGUGGAGGCAUCACUCUACCUUCAUGCAGAUCUUGACAGCUGUUUUACUAGAUUGAACCUUCUGAGGUAUGCUAUAAUGAAUUAUGAAAUUCAUUUGUGGACUGUGUUAAGACAAAGCUGCAGUGAGCUAUGAAAUUUUGAGGCCUAUGAGGAAUCUAUACUUCUACAAGGUGCCAGAAAUAAUAUUGUAGUUUGUCGUGCUGCUGUUGCAUACGGUACAAAGUAACGAAUACUUUGUUUGUUGUCAUGGAUCGUCUGUGUAUACUGUAAAUGCCUGGAUGAAACAUUCAUUAUUUAUAUGUUUUUUAACAUCGUCGUCUUGUGUUCAAUUAUAUGAUGUUAUCGUUCUGUCUCUGUAAAUUAUGACUCGAUAUGCUCCACUUUUAACAUUAUUAAAUGAAUUUUAUCUUUGCAGUCACAUGUGCAAAG
rnacentral:misc_RNA from 1 species